rnacentral:rRNA from 1 species
AGCGAACGCUGGCGGCAGGCUUAACACAUGCAAGUCGAACGGGCGUAGCAAUACGUCAGUGGCAGACGGGUGAGUAACGCGUGGGAACGUACCUUUUGGUUCGGAACAACACAGGGAAACUUGUGCUAAUACCGGAUAAGCCCUUACGGGGAAAGAUUUAUCGCCGAAAGAUCGGCCCGCGUCUGAUUAGCUAGUUGGUGAGGUAACGGCUCACCAAGGCGACGAUCAGUAGCUGGGUCUGAGAGGAUGAUCAGCCACAUUGGGACUGAGACACGGCCCAAACUCCUACGGGAGGCAGCAGUGGGGAAUAUUGGACAAUGGGCGCAAGCCUGAUCCAGCCAUGCCGCGUGAGUGAUGAAGGCCCUAGGGUUGUAAAGCUCUUUUGUGCGGGAAGAUAAUGACGGUACCGCAAGAAUAAGCCCCGGCUAACUUCGUG